rnacentral:lncRNA from 1 species
CAACCACGUGUCCCCUCAUGGGUGCUACCAGAGUCCCUCCCCAGCCUGAGACUCCUGAAGCCCCAGACUCAGGGAUUUUCUUUCCACUAAGCUCUGGUGAGGAAACUGAGGCUGGGAGAGGCAGCCACACAGCUAGAGUGAAUGGUGAACUGGACUAGGAACAUGGGUGGGCGUGUUUCCCACACUGCCCCACAGUGACACAGCGGGGGCGGGGACAGCCCUUAAAAUCCGAUCCUCCGCGAACACCUUGAAUCCUCAAACCUCCAUCCAUCCAAAAGGGGCUCCGCCUUGGGGAGGCCCUUCGCACACUUCUCUACAAUUUGAGGGGCCGUCGGCUGCAAUAACCACAUAGUGGGGCCACUACAAGUCAACAGAAGCAGACCCUCUCUCCAAAAACACAGCAGACCCUGUCUCCAACACAGACUAGGCCUAGUUCCGACUUCCAGAAUGCCGUGGUCCAGCCCUGGCAUUGCUGACUCAUGGGGUCAGGCUGGCGUUGCUCCUCUGUGGGGCUGGAGGGGCCCCAGACAAGAAGCUGAAGCUCAAGGAAGGAGGUUCUGGGACUCAUCUCAGAUCCCAUGGCCAGGAAGCGGUGGCCACUCUGGAAUUCUUGACCCUGCCCAGACCAGCACCUUCCACAGCAGAGACCCCCUCCAAGGAGCGGGCGACGUGUGACUUCCCCAUGGGUGGACUCUGGGCUGCAGUGAUCGGCUAGCGGUGCCAUCUUUAGUCUGGGAGCUGUGUGAAGCCUGCUCCCCACCUUCCCCCUCCUGCAAAUAUUGGGGGAGGGGCAUGGAGGACAGGAAGAUAGAAGCAAAAGUGGCAGUGACCGGUGCAUGAGAGAUUGGGAGAUACGUGCUGGGGAGGGGUUCCCCGGAGCAGAGCUGGCUGCCCUUGGCACUGGGCCCAGGCGGAGGAGUGGCAAGACCAACAGUUCCUGGAGCACAAGUCCCUCAGCCGGUGCCCAGUGCCAGCCAUCGCCAUGUUCUCAUCUGCCAGCAGCAAAAUGAGAAAAAUAAGGACAAUAUAGUGAGGUUUUACUAAAGCUAGGUUUACUCAAUCCAAAAGACUGUCCUUUUAUCUGAGCUUUGUAUUUUCAAUCGUGUGUGUGUCUGUGUGUGUGUGUCUGUGUCUGUGUGUGUCUGUGUGUGUGAGCACAAAAGGACCUUUCCUUUGACAUUUCCUUUUAAUGACCUCAAACUCAGCAAAAUAAAAAAACUGGUGACUAG